AAAAAGAAAAAGACAAAAUACGGUAUGAAGCAAGUAUGGGCUUACAACCACUGCAGAAAAUCAGGAAAACUUGCCUGCACACACGAAUGAAGUCAACUAUUCAAGAUAAAGAUUCACGCAUACAAGAUUUACAAAUACGCAUUGAGGAGUGUUACUAAAGGAGGAGUCGAAGGCAGUGUUAUUGUCACCAGAAGAAGCAUCUGACAUUAAAGACUGUUUUUUACAGGGAGAAAGAGAUGGAAUGUUUGAUGAAUUUCACAAGUUGUUUUGGGGCG